rnacentral:rRNA from 1 species
UGCAAGUCGAGCGGCUGCGCGGGGGCAACCUGGCGGCGAGCGGCGAACGGGUGAGUAAUGCAUCGGAACGUGUCCCGUACUGGGGGAUAACCCGGCGAAAGCCGGACUAAUACCGCAUAUGCUCUACGGAGGAAAGCGGGGGAUUCGCAAGAACCUCCCGCUAUGGGAGCGGCCGAUGCCCGAUUAGCUUGUUGGUGAGGUAAAGGCUUACCAAGGCGACGAUCGGUAGCUGGUCUGAGAGGAUGAUCAGCCACACUGGGACUGAGACACGGCCCAGACUCCUACGGGAGGCAGCAGUGGGGAAUUUUGGACAAUGGGGGCAACCCUGAUCCAGCCAUGCCGCGUGCGGGAAGAAGGCCUUCGGGUUGUAAACCGCUUUUGUCCGGAAAGAAAAGGCACUCCCUAAUACGGGGUGUUCUUGACGGUACCGGAAGAAUAAGCACCGGCUAACUACGUGCCAGCAGCCGCGGUAAUACGUAGGGUGCGAGCGUUAAUCGGAAUUACUGGGCGUAAAGCGUGCGCAGGCGGUUCGCAAAGUCUGAUGUGAAAGCCCCGGGCUCAACCUGGGAACUGCAUUGGAAACUAACGAACUUGA